ensembl:lncRNA
GGGCUUUCCUGCGUGGCUGUGGGCGUGCAGGGAGCUGUGCUGCGUCCAGAUGCUGGCCCCGCUGCUCCAAUGCAGAGCAUUCAGCUGCCUCGGAGCGGGUGGGAACCUGCGAGCAGCGCUUGUGGUCACUCUGAUCGUUGUCUCCCGCCCGGGGCGAGGGCUGUGGCAUCCAGGCGUUCUCCUGCUCACCCGUGUUUCCCACAGCCUGGAGGGCUCUGGGUAUGAGCCAUGUGGAAUUUAUUUGUUGUUUGUUGUUUUUUUUUUUCCCCGGAAGAUGUCAAAGGACUCCUUGGAGUUGCUGAUUGUUCUCUUCCCUGGAGCAGUUCAACUGGUAGAAAUCUAGCGAGGGCAUUGGCAGCUUUUUCUUCAGCAUCAUCCAGUCCUGCUGAGAGGCACUCGACACAGAGCGGUGGUAAAAUGCUGGCAGAGGUAAAGCCCUGCUUGUUCUAGCUCUCCUAUCGCUCUUACCACCAGCCAGAGGGAAGCUGUAAGCCACAGAGGCCGGGGUUAGAGGAGUCAAAGAGAUUGCGAAUCCUCGGAGGUGCGUGUCUGCAUUGCCGCUGGCUGGGUUUGCAGCGGUGGGGGAUUGAGCUGGUCUCUGACAAGGCAGCGAAUCCAGAGCUGCUGUGCUGGGGAAUGCUCUGAAACGCUCUCAGGCAGGCGCUGCAGUCAGGCUUGUUGAAUUGCUGCAGCUCAUCUCUGCGCCAGGCGGUGUUUCUCUUACGGCUGGUUGCGGUGUUAAACGCUACGGCAGUAAAGAGGCUUUGUUGUGGUCUCUGCAACGUUGCUUUCGCCUUGGCUAGCAGCAGUCUUUUUGUUGGAAUAAAUACUUUCCCUGGAGUUGGCUGUGGGGGCAUGUGUGGGCACGUGUGUGUACCGCUGCUUUUGGGUAUACAUUGGACACAGCUGUGAACAGGCAAUUCUGGUAGGUUCAGCACUUGCCCAAACUUGUUGCUCGCGAGCGCCAGAAUGAUGCGCUCUUCCUCACUGUUGGGAAUGCUGGCCGCUGUCAUGAGCUUUUGAAAAUGCUUGAAUGAAAUUAAUAGAUGCUUUCCAGCCACAUGCAGAAAUUGUUGCUAGCAUCUGGCCCAGUGCUGUAUUUGGUCUCAGGAAGUGGUCAACUUUUG